CCUCAGUUGAUGACAACAACACAGGGUCUUGCGGGACAACGACACCCUCGCGGAGGAGCGGCUCAGCAAGCUCGUCGCCGCCGACUAGGCUUUGAUUGGACCAUGCGGCGGGGUUUAGAAGAGGGAUCGAUUAAGGAAAAGGCUUCGAUGAGAAUUUUAUUUCCUUUUUUAUUGAGGUAGUUCGUAUAAGGAGUUGGAUGAUGGAAAUGGUUGGGGAGGAAUGUUUCAUGGGGAUGCUGUAAAAU
rnacentral:lncRNA from 7 species